ensembl:lncRNA
CUCUCAGUAUUAUUGUGUGCUCACUGUGUUUUCUUUAAUUAUAUGGAGUGGGAUUUUGUUCAAUUUCACAGUUGCACAAACAUGCAGCAAUUAUUCCUGAUAAGUGAUAACGAAUCACUGAACAUUAAAUAAGUGUGUUCUUGUGUGCGGGCAAGCAGGCACGCAUGUUUGUGCCUCUGCACCACGGACUUGAGCUCCAUGUCACAAACUGCUCAUGGACAUAGAAUUCCAAUUAGCGUUAAAUAUAACAAGAGCAACUGUUCUGCAUGGGUGUGUCACUGUGCAUCCAUAAUCCCAUCCAUAAUCCCAUCCAUAAUCAUAUUCACUGAUCACUUGUUUGUUUUGGCAGCACUGUGGCCUUGAGUCAUUUGUUUGUGUGUUUGGAUUGCAGUGCAAACAGUGUAGUAGGAGUUUUCAUUGAACAUGUUAAUCCUGCAAAUGGGAACUGGACAGAAACUGGAGAAGCUCCACCAGGAAAGGUUCACCUGCAAGAGGGCGGGGAAUCGGCAAAUUGAGGUCAAAGCUACGCUCAAUGAGAAGACAGCAGAGGAGAAGACCUAGUUUUCGGUUAGCAGAGCAGAGAGCCGAGGGAGGAGGAGCAUCACUGCGAAAACCUUUGCCAGCAUUUGUCCAUCCAGCAGCCAGCAGUCAUGGCAGCUGGAUGGAGGUUCAGCUGAAGAGCUUGUCCUUGAAGUUACUUCACCCUUAAGAAGGCAAUUCUUGAAAUGGACAGACUGCAUCACUCCAAUGUGAGGGGCCUUUAACAUCUUAAUGAUUUUUUUUUUUCAAUCGUAUACACUACCUAUUUAAAGUAAAUAGUUCAACAAUUCUGUAAUACCAGACUAUAAAGGUGGAAUAUAAAUGUUUAUAAUGUUUGAUGUGUUUCUUUCCUUUCCUAGUCAGAAUGUCCUGAAUGACAUUUUUCGUGUUGUUAAGUUGAACAAAUUAUUGGCUUAAAGUAAUAAUAAUCUAUAUUUCAUGGUUAAGUUUCUUUACACUGUUUUCUAUAAAAGUGUAGCACUUUUGUUUGGAGUCACAAAAAGCAUCUUCUCCUAGAGCAAUAGACCCACAAGCCAAACUCCAAAAUCUUAAUGAGUGUACCCAGAUAGACAAGAAAUUGCAUCCAAAUAAAAGAAUAAUAAAGGCAUCUAAACCGUAACAAGUCUGCCUUUGUUCUUCCACUCCACCCACCACAAGCAGGCAUUGUUGCAGCUUUGAGGGCAGCUCUGAGAGUUCCAUGCCCAUCGGCCUUCAAUCACAUGGGAUGUCUGAGUUUGACAGUAUAAAGUCUUUCUUCUAGAAUAAAAUAUAACCCCUAAGCAAUAGUGGAUGAGCUGUUAGUAGCCAUGCAGUCCACAGGGAUCUAGACCAAGCAUGGUAGUACAGUAUACACAAAGUGCUGGUUAGGGAUAAGACAAUGGACCAGUAAAAACAUCACUCGAUGCCGCAACACUUAAAUUUCUCACCAUUUGCUUCUGUUAGCAAAUAUUUUUGUUUCAAUGGUAAUAUUUAAGUUGGCUUCACCAAAAUUAAAAAAUAAAUAACGCUCUUUAAAAAAGUUAGUCUGUUUAAAGGUAAUUUCAUUACUAUAAAAGUAUUAAAACACCCUCUUUAAAAAAAAAAAACAAAAAAACCUUCACCCACCGAAACUGAAUCUUCUACCGUAGUCCUGCACCGCUCAGUCAUUCCAAACCGAUUGUGUCCAUCUUUCCUUUGAUUUGUCAGAGAGCAUCAUUGAGGAUGCAGCGUGAGCUCGAAUAGAUUUUCCUUGGUAAGAUUUUCACUCACUGGCAAUAUGGAAGGUUUCACUCCUGCUUUACACCAAGAGGACAUCAUCAGUUCUUGUCUUGGUCAAAUCAAUGGACAACAUUCUUUCCAGCAUAGCGGUCAAUAUGCAACGCUUAAGGUGUCUGAGGAAACUAAAGAAGACCAAUAAUUGUUAUUAAUAACAUGGAUCUCCCAAAGGAUUGUAUUUACAGGCUUUCAAAUGUAACUAUAACAUGCACAUAACCUACAAAGGUCCUGUCGCCCUGUCUGUGAAUAUCUGUGUGCAGGAAUGUCAACACCGCAAAUGGACCAAUUAUAUAGUAAUUGUGUUUUUACACAAAGAGGAACUCAAACAUCUAGCCAGUGCAUUCAUGGCCACUUGAAGAUGCUCACAUGUAUGAGUUCAUUUGUCCAUUGAUUUGGUUCGAGAGGACCUUUUGUGCUUUUGAUUCAUUUUUC